rnacentral:rRNA from 1 species
AUAGGUGGCUUCCCCUAGUAACUGCGAGUGAAGAGGUUUGAGCCCAACUUCGAAAUCUGGCGCUUCGGCGUUGGAGUUGUGAUUUAGGGAGGCUUUUCCCGUGCUGGGCAGGGUUACGAGACGGGGGUGAAGGACCAUAAGGGGCAAUAAUCCCGUACCCGGCAUGGAGCGCCGGAAUGUUUGUGAUACCCUUUCUAAGAGUCGAGUUGGUUGGAAAUGCAGCUCAAUAUUGGCGAGAGAUGCAAUCUAAAGGCUAAAUAUUGGGGGAGAGACCAAUAGCGAACAAGUACAGAGAUGAAAAGAUGCAAAAGAACUGUGAAAAGAGAGGUAAACAGUACGUGAAUUUUUUUUAAAGGGAAGCGGUAGGAGGUCAGAGCAUGCCGUCUGGCAUUCAGCCUUGCUUUUUGUAUUGGUGUUGUUCCCAGUUGGCAGGCAAACGUCGUUUUUGCACACUUGCUGGAAGACUGGGGACGGAAUGUGGCACCCCUCGGGUGUGGUUAUAGCCUCCUACUGAUACAGCGACCGAGACCGAGGACAGCAGCGUACUCGCAAGAGCGGGCCUUCGGCACCUUUACGCUUAGGGCGUUGGCAUAAUGGCCCUCUACCACCCGUCUUGAAACGGACCCAGCGCGAAAAACGCUUCUCUAAUUACACUCGGACGCCGAAGACGCCAGAUUUUAAUUUGAGCUCAUCCCGCUCACUCGCAGUUACUAGGGGAAACCGUUGUUAGUUACGUUUCCUCCGGUUAUGACU